GACGAACGCUGGCGGCGUGCCUAAUACAUGCAAGUAGAACGCUGAAGGAGGAGCUUGCUUCUCCGGAUGAGUUGCGAACGGGUGAGUAACGCGUAGGUAACCUGCCUGGUAGCGGGGGAUAACUAUUGGAAACGAUAGCUAAUACCGCGUAACAGUAGAUGUUGCAUGACAUUUGCUUAAAAGGUGCAAUUGCAUCACUUCCAGAUGGACCUGCGUUGUAUUAGCUAGUUGGUGAGGUAACGGCUCACCAAGGCGACGAUACAUAGCCGACCUGAGAGGGGGACCGGCCACACUGGGACUGAGACACGGCCCAGACUCCUACGGGAGGCAGCAGUAGGGAAUCUUCGGCAAUGGACGGAAGUCUGACCGAGCAACGCCGCGUGAGUGAAGAAGGUUUUCGGAUCGUAAAGCUCUGUUGUAAGAGAAGAACGAGUGUGAGAGUGGAAAGUUCACACUGUGACGGUAUCUUACCAGAAAGGGACGGCUAACUACGUG
rnacentral:rRNA from 1 species